rnacentral:lncRNA from 1 species
AAAAAAAAAGGAAUGAAUACAAAAGAGACCCUUCAUUCUGAUGAUUCCAUCUCCCUCCAGGGCUUAGACCUCCAGACAUGGUGACCUUCUGUGGUUGAGAAGCCUGCAAAGGGAAAAGGAUUUGAAGAUGAUAAAAGGAGCACCCAUCCUUUGCUGUCAGGAGUCACUAGGCUGUUUUUUCCCUUGGAGACUUGGAUACAUCUAUGAUCUCAACAACGUGGGUUACCCCUCCACUAACAAAGAUGGCUGGUGUGACCUCUGUCUUCUCAUCUUCAGGCAGGCAGAUGCCCAUCUUGACUCCAUCCUGAAGAACACUGUGUUAAGCAUCAAUGGAAGCAUCAUUUGCUUAUUAAGUUUUCUUAUGUAUGAAGACCUCUCAGAGUUCCUCAGAGAUGUGGUCCUUUGACUCUACAUCUUUCUACAUGGUGAUGUUUUUAUGUGCUUGUUUCUCUGACUCAUUAAACUCACCAGCAAGUAAAUUCUCCAGGUACUAGCAGCAC